rnacentral:rRNA from 1 species
CACGUAGGAGGCAAACGUUAUCCGGAUUUACUGGGCGUAAAGCGCGUGUAGGUGGUUCUGUAAGUAGGGCGUGAAAGCUCCCGGCUCAACUGGGAGAGGCCGUUCUAAACUGCAGAGCUAGAGGAUGGUAGAGGGAGGUGGAAUUCCAGGUGUAGCGGUGGAAUGCGCAGAUAUCUGGAGGAACACCAGUGGGAAGGCGGCCUCCUGGACCAUUCCUGACACUCAGACGCGAAAGCUAGGGUAGCAAACGGGAUUAGAUACCCGCGUAGU